rnacentral:rRNA from 1 species
AGCGAACGCUGGCGGCAGGCCUAACACAUGCAAGUCGAACGAAGCCUUCGGGCUUAGUGGCGGACGGGUGAGUAACACGUGGGAACGUACCUUUUGGUUCGGAACAACUCAGGGAAACUUGAGCUAAUACCGGAUGAGCCCUUAGGGGGAAAGAUUUAUCGCCGAAAGAGCGGCCCGCGUUAGGUUAGCUAGUUGGUGAGGUAAAGGCUCACCAAGGCAACGAUCUAUAGCUGGUCUGAGAGGAUGAUCAGCCACACUGGGACUGAGACACGGCCCAGACUCCUGCGGGAGGGAGCAGUGGGGAAUCUUGCGCAAUGGGCGAGAGCCUGACGCAGCCAUGCCGCGUGAAUGAUGAAGGUCUUAGGAUUGUAAAAUUCUUUUACCAGGGACGAUAAUGACGGUACCUGGAGAAAAAGCCCCGGCUAACUUCGUGCCAGCCGCCGCAGUAAAAC